UUUAUAAUUAAACUGUGAUAAUUUUUGUUAUCCAUAGCACAUACAACAUAACUACUAUAUUUUUAUGAAAAUUUUAUGAAAAAAUGAUACUAAAUUAUUUUCAAAAUAAGAUUCAAAAUUGUCAUAUAGAACCAAUGGAGGAGAAUAUGUCUGUGGUUAGAGAAAGGGGAAGAAGAUGAACACAUGUAAGAAAGUGGGGGUCCAUUAAGCUUUUUUUUUGUCAUCAAGUAGGAUCUACUAAAUAUCAAACAAGUAAUAAAGGGGGAAUAAGAAUCUCAGAUAGACUGUCCACGUCAGACGGUAAAAUCAACCAAUCAUGUUAUAAGGUUUUGCCACGUCAGCAUUAUUGGGUCACACACAUAAUUACUGUGUAGACGCAAGCAGUUACGGUAAUUUUUCAUUCUGUCAACUUCCUUUAAUUGUUAACGUGUUUUUAAUUUAAUUGGGUUAGGUAAUGCUACAAGUCCAAUAAAGAAAACCAAUUGAUCUCCAAACCCAUUAUAGCCCAAAACAAAUCCAAAGUAUGCGUUUAAGGUUCGAGUCGAUUAGGUUUGGAGUCGUCUCCAUAUUCGACAAUUCAACAUAUCUUUCUUUGCCGUACAAAACAAAACCAAAACUCCUUUAACUGAACUUUCCACCUCCCCUAUAUCUUCAUGCCCGUCUCUUCCUUACCUUCCGUUCAACGUUUCUGUAACCUAUACAAUGAAUCUUAGUUUAUAUUUAACUCAUUAACUCCUAUAAACUCUCUGUCUCCCUCCUUUUACAGUCAAAGCUUCAUACGUAUCUAAACCGAAAAAACACCUCAAACCCUAUAUAUAGGAGAGGGUUGAGAGUGGAACCAAGCAUCACCAACACGUUCUCUCAGUUUAUUUACUCUCGAAACCCUACAAUCCUCCUAGGAAAACGACUUCAUGUUGACCAAUCAGCCAUCCACCAUGCAACCUUCACGCUCUCCGACUUGGGAGAACUUCCCAAUUCAUGUUGGUCACCUCCUCUGCUUCUUGGAUUGGGUAACAUCAGGAAAGACGGAGAAUCAAGAAAAACCGAGAAAAAGGAGAAUUUCACUCUAAAUCACCGUUCACCGCCUAAGAAAUCAGUGAUGACGUGUUAUUUGACACUCAGGCACAGCUUCAGUCGGACAAGCAACAGAAUCUGCCAACAAUAGGGGUGAUGCGCAAAAGAUUUCACUGGAAGUUGGUGAAGCCAAGUAUGCCAGGUCCUGCAACCGACCAGAACAAACGCAAACGCCCCGUGAGUGAUUUCCCCAAGGCCAUCUAACCGUCAACCCCACUUAGCUUUACUCUCAUUUCAAUUUUAAAUUUUCAUAUUUUUUCUCUACUUUGAACUUUGAUUUUCUCUUUGAUCUGCUGCAACCUAUUUCUUACUGGUGUAAGAAUUAUUAUGACUUUCAAUAAUAAAGGGACGUGAGCGGUAACGUGUCUUUGCUUAUUUUCUAAUGUCAGAUGGCGUCAACAAUACAUAAACCUCGGCCAUUUCAACAUACAUCAUUUCAUUAAUAUAAAUAACUUCCAAGGAAGCAAAUAAACUACACUUCAGAAAAGAGAAGGGAAAGAAGGAUCAAGUUACAUCACAAGAACAAGACAAAGCAAGCGUAUGGGAGCUAAGACGGAUUGUACCAUAAUGAUGCAAGCCUCUGCCCCAUAGGAAGACCAAGAGAAGACGUAGCUGAGCAUUUGUCUCUCAGGAACCAAAUAAAUUUCUAAAAUUGUUAACUUUUUUAUUGGUAGGGAGCAUGUUUUCUUAAAUUCACUUAUUAUGCAUGAUUGAAAGCUGACAAAAAGUUCGGUC